rnacentral:rRNA from 1 species
UACGGAGGGUGCAAGCGUUAUCCGGAUUCACUGGGUUUAAAGGGUGCGUAGGAGGGCAGGUAAGUCAGUGGUGAAAUCUCCGAGCUUAACUUGGAAACUGCCGUUGAUACUAUCUGUCUUGAAUAUUGUGGAGGUGAGCGGAAUAUGUCAUGUAGCGGUGAAAUGCUUAGAUAUGACAUAGAACACCAAUUGCGAAGGCAGCUCGCUACGCAUAUAUUGACUCUGAGGCACGAAAGCGUGGGGAUCAAACAGG